rnacentral:rRNA from 1 species
UACGUAGGGGCCUAGCGUUGUCCGGAUUUGAUUGGGCGUAAAGAGUGCGUAGGCGGUUUUCUAAGUUUGGUGUGAAAUCUCCCGGCUUAACUGGGAGGGUGCGCCGAAAACUGGAAGGCUUGAGUAUGGGAGAGGUAAGCGGAAUUCCUGGUGUAGCGGUGAAAUGCGUAGAUAUCAGGAGGAACACCUGCGGUGUAGACGGCUUACUGGACCAUAACUGACGCUGAGGCACGAAAGCGUGGGUAGCAAACAGG